UCUGAUCUCACUGUUUAUACUGCACCUCAUCAAUCUCAUCUGAUUUUGGAAGGUAAGCAGGUUUAAGGCCUGGUUAGCACUUGAAUAGGAGGGCACCUGGGAAUACCACAUGCUGCAGCUUAGAA
rnacentral:rRNA from 1 species